rnacentral:rRNA from 1 species
AGCAGCAGCCACGGUAAUCCGUAGGUGGCAAGCGUUGUCCGGAAUUAUUGGGCGUAAAGCGCGCGCAGGCGGCCUAUCCAGUCUGUCUUAAAAGUUCGGGGCUUAACCCCGUGAGGGGAUGGAAACUGCUGAUCUAGAGUAUCAGAGAGGAAAGUGGAAUUCCUAGUGUAGCGGUGAAAUGCGUAGAUAUUAGGAAGAACACCAGUGGCGAAGGCGACUUUCUGGACGAAAACUGACGCUGAGGCGCGAAAGCCAGGGGAGCGAACGGGAUUAGAUACCCGAGUAGUCCCUGUCUCUUAUACC